UAAGUACCCCCUCUGUCCCAAAAUUCUUGUCUUAGAUUUGUCUAGAUACAGAUGUAUCAAGUCACGUUUUAGUAUUAGAUACAUCCGUAUCUAGACAAAUCUAAGACAAGAAUUUUGGGACGGAGGGAGUAGUAA
rnacentral:pre_miRNA from 1 species